UGGCCCAAGCCUGCAAAUUAUUGCCAGCAGCUGGAACGCUGGCUGCCCACUGGCAUUUGUUCAACUACUUAAAAAUUCACUUUGUAAACAAACCUUCACACACAUCAAGCGGCUCAUCUGGAUGAAAUGAAAAGGCUGUUAGAUGUAAUGCAGGAACGUGCUCCCGAUGUUGAACAUCAGUUCAAAGAAAAGUCAAAUGAGUUGGAAAUGGCGCAGCUUAUCAUACGCCAGUUGUCGGAUAAGGCCAAUGUAAACCAAGGCGGCAAUCGUAUAGAGACCUUGACGUAGACGCAAUUUAUGUACGAGGAACAGAUUAGAGACUUACAAUCUAUGGUGCAGGAAUUUAUGAUGGUCACAAAAUAUAUUGGCAAAAACAUAGCAAGUGCAUAUGCCAAGUUGGAAAAAUUGACAAUGCUGGCCAAAAAGAAGAGUCUUUUUGAUGAUCGACCGCAAGAGAUUCAAGAAU